rnacentral:rRNA from 1 species
UACGGAGGGUGCAAGCGUUAAUCGGAAUUACUGGGCGUAAAGCGCACGUAGGCGGUUCGUUAAGUCGGAUGUGAAAUCCCCGGGCUCAACCUGGGAAUUGCAUUCGAUACUGCGUAGCUAGAGUCUGGUAGAGGGUAGCGGAAUUCCAGGUGUAGCGGUGAAAUGCGUAGAUAUCUGGAGGAACAUCAGUGGCGAAGGCGGCUACCUGGACCAAGACUGACGCUGAGGUGCGAAAGCGUGGGGAGCAAACAGGAUUAGAAACCCGUGUAGU